CCGCCCAUGUCCAUAAGUCUGUUCUCUACAUCUGUGUCUCCUUGGCUGCCCUGCAAAUAAUUUCAUCAGUACCAUCUUUAGUUCAAGCAUUUCUUAUUCCAGUCUUACUGUGUUUAGUGUGAGACUCUUUUCAAAACUGAUAUUAAAGUAUUAUUUUCACUAUAGAAAAUUUGGAAGAUGCAGACAUGAAAAAUUUAAAAAGUCACUUAGAGUUUAAGCUAACCACUAAAAAAUUUAUUUAUUGAUUUCUAGUUUCUCUUCUUUAACCUUUUUUAUCUACGGUAAUCCUGUGUAUUCCUUUUAGUUAGAGAUUAAUUUUUAGAUUAUUCUGACUCUUACACUAAGUUACAGUUUUGGGUCUGAUACACUUACGGAUGUGCCAAGUGCUUCCUGAAUACUAUAGAACAUAAUUUAUGUUUAAAAUAAUUCCAUGCUUAUGUAGUGAGUCAGUUAUUUUAAGCUAAUUUGUUACAAAUUUCCACAACGGGGAUAUGAAUUUUGCCAAGGUUGUAUUUGUGUUUAAAUACACAUUUAAGUCCAGGUUGACAUCUUUUUUCUUGUUGGUGUAGGUACCCUGCUGACAUCCAGUGUCUCUGCAUUAGACACUAUUACUGCAGCAGCACUUGGAUCUCUCACAUCGAUUCCAGAAAAUGUGUCUACACUUGUUUCUCAGAUGUCUAAUAUGAUAUUAAAAGAACAAUUGUUAGCAGCAGAAAGUAAAACUGUACUUCAGGAAUUGAUUAAUGUACUUAAGACUGACCACCUCAGUUCACUGGGAACAGCUUUAUCCCCCACUGUGGCAUCUAUACUGGAAAUCAAUAGUCAACUGAAGAAUAUCUUCAAGACUUUGUCAACUGAGGCUAAUAAGGUAACAAAUAUUCUUAUUAUCUCAAAUUGUUAAGAAAGAAACUCCACAUGAAUUCAAGGGACCCAGGAUUUGUUAGUUGAGAAGUAUCUACAUGCAGAACUCGUGGGUUAUGAGAAGGAAUCUGGAGGAGGGAGGAGAGAGGAUGCUGUGGUCAGGAUGCUGACCGUUGAUGUGGUCAGCAGAAUCAUGGCUAAGAGAAACAAGAGGAAAUGAUCUUCAGGCAUCAUAGCAUACAUAGUGGUCUAUCAUAUGGUGUGUGUCCAUAUGUGGUUAUACAUACAUAUGUAUGCAUAUCUGCCUGAAUAUGGAUAAUAAAAUAUCUCUGCAUACGUGCUAAGUCACUUCAGUCAUGUCCGACUCUUGGCUACCCAAUGGACUGUAGCCUGCCACGCUCCUCUGUCAGUGGGAUUCUCCAGGCAAGAAUACUGGAGUGGGUUGCCAUGCCCUCCUCCACAGGAUUGUCCUGACCCAGGGAUCGAACCCACAUCUCCUGCAUUGUCAGAAGGGUUCUUUAUAACUAGGGCCACCUGGGAAGCCCCCAAAUACCUCUAGAUGUGUUUGAAAAUGGUAACAAUCCCUCCUCAGUGGUGGGAGUGGCACUGGGGUUCUAGGGGCUGGAGGGGAAAGGAAGGGACUUUUCUCUGCAAUACUGUUUUCUACCUUUUCUAUUUUAUAUGUAUUCAAAAAAGUAAAAAUAAAAAACAGAAUAUUUAAGAAAAAAAA